rnacentral:lncRNA from 1 species
GAGGAGGUGCCAUGUUUCACGGAGUGUAAGGGAGGACUUCUCUGAAGCUAAACUUCAAAGUGAGAUCUGAAGACAGCAAGGAGACAUCUGGAUCCCAGGGUUCAAUCAAGAAAUUCAAGAAAAUGAAGUGAAUCCUGCAAAGGAGGCCAAGAACCAGCCCAUGAAGUUGAGAACCAAGAGAUGGUGGUCUUGGACAUCAAAAGAAGAGAGGCCACAGAGAAGAAGGAGUGAUCUGACCACUGCAUCGAAUGCUGCUGGGAGGUGGAGGAGGAUGAGCACUGAGAAGUGACUGCCAUGCAUCAGUUUGCAGCAUGAUAACCAUUGGUGGCUCUGACGGGAGUGGAGUGAUGGGGCAGAAACCUAACUGAAUGAGUUUAAGAAAUAAGGCAUAGCACCCAUCACACUGACUGAGUCAUCCGGAAAAUGUGAGAAAUCACUUAAUAAAGAGCUGCCCUGGGGAAAUGGACAGGAAGUAAAAAUGGCCUUGCUGAGUAAAUUAAAUUUAUGUUCAAGUGCUAUUUCUCUAUGGCACCGGGGAACAAGCAUUUCCAACAAUAGCGCUAUUCACAACAGCAAAGACACGGAAUCAACCUAGAUGUCUAUCAACAGUGGACAGGCUAAAGAAAAUGCGGUACAUAUACAUCAUGGAAUACUACGCAGCCAUAAAAAGAAUGAGAUCAUGUCCUUUGCGACAACGUGAAUGGAGCUGGAGGCUAUUAUCCUAAGCAACUUAACACAGGAACAGAAAACCAAAUGCUGCAUGUUCUCAUAAGUGGAAGCUGAACAUUGAGUACACAUGGACACAAAUAAGGGAACAACAGACCCCAGGGCCUACUUGAGGGUGGAGAGUGGGAGUUACCUGUUGGGUGUUACGCUGAGUACUUGGGUGACAAAAUUAUCUGUAUACCAAACCCCUGCAACGUGCAGUUUACCCAUGUAACAAACCUGCACAUGUAUCCCUUGAACCUAAAAGUUGGAAAGUUUAAAAAAAGAAAAAAGGGGUACAAGGAAAUGAAGGAUGCAGGAUUCAGUAUUAUUAUUACCUAAUAAGUGGGGAAGGAAGGGAAAAUUAGUUGUGAGAGGCGACCAUACCAUUGCAUGUAAACUCAUAGAGGCAAAGUAGAUUCGUAGCCACUAAGGGCAAAGGGGUGGGGAACAAGCAAUGACUGCUAAUGGGUACAGGUUUUUUUGGGAGUGUGACGCAAAUGUUCUGGAAUUAAAUGGUCGUGAUGGCUGCACAACUUUGUUCAUACAUAAGCCCCACUAAAUUGUGUACUUAGGAAGAUGAAUAUUGUGAUACAAGAAUUAUGUCUCAGGUUUUAAAAACAGGAAAAAUCUCAUUAUAAAACUACAGUAAUUAAUAAAGUGUGUUUUGAUUUAAAGAUAAGUAAACAGAUGAAGAGAAAAUUAUAGAGUCCAGGAUUAGAUCCACAGAUAGAUGGCCAGUUGAUUUUCAACAAAGGUAAAGAAAGGAUAGUAUUUUCAACAAACAAUUCUGGAAAAACUGGAUGUAUGUAUGCAAAAAAAAAAAAAAAACCCAAAAAACCCUUUGACACAUACUUUGAACCAUAUACAAAACUUAACUCAAAAUGGAUCAUAGACCUCAAUGUAAAACCUGAAAUUAUAAAAGUGCUAGAGGAAAACAUACCAGAAAACCUUUAUGACCUAGGGUUGGGCAAAGAAUUCUUAUGAACAGCACCAAAAAACAUGUUCCCUUUUAUUUAAAAAGAAAUUUUCAAAAAAGUAAGGAUAAAUUGGACUUCAUCAAAAUUAAAAACCUCUCUUUAGGCCAGGCACGGUGGUUCACGCCUGUAAUCCCAGCACUUUGGGAGGCCAAGGUAGGUUUAUCACCUGAGGUCAGGAGUUCGAGAC